rnacentral:rRNA from 1 species
AUGAAGCUCUGGGCCACCAAUGAGGUCCGCGCCAAGUCCAAGUUCUGGUACUUCCUGAGGAAGCUCAAGAAGGUGAAGAAGGCCAACAGCCAGAUGCUCGCCAUCAACGAGGUAUAUCACUUCCCUCUAGUUGCCAUGAUCCGUGGAUGCAACUUUAAUUGUGCUGGCUGCGAGGCAUGCAACAAGGACGUAGCCAUCGUCCUUAUCGACCUCCACAGCUGCAGCCUCGACUCCAAGAUACGCCUCAGCCUCGAGUCGCAGGUGGUGGAGAAGGCCAUCGAGAUCCAGGAGAAGAAGAGGAAGGCGCCCUCAGCUGCCAUCGGAGGCAAGGGGAAGAAGAAGAGCAAGGUGUACGGAGAUGGUGCCAAGAAGCCAAAGGCAAAGCACCCACCGACCGCCUUCUUCCUCUUCAUGUAA